CUACCCCGGAGGGGCGGCUCCUUGGCCAGGGAAGGAGGCGGGAUCUGCUUGCCAGCGGGCGUCUCCGCUUAGCGCUCUCUCCAGAAACCGCUGGGCAGUCUCCUGGGUGAGCGCCAGACGCCUGGGGUCCGUUUGCCGCCUGCUGAGACUAGACAAGGACCCCGGGAGGGCGACGUUGGGGGAGAGGGCUACGGAUGGAGGUCCCGCCGCGCUUGGGCCGGGUCCGGAGCCACCAGGACGCACAGCGGGCACAGAGCUCAACACUUUAUUUGCUCCCUGUCAUUCAAUGCUAAUAAUACCAAUAUUCAGUGAAAAAUACUGGAGCUUAAAGGUCAGAUCACUUGUCCAGAGUCACAGAACAGAAGCCCAAGUAAUCUGGUAUAACAGCCAGGCUUUUUUUCUACUACAACAUUCUUCAUCCUGUAUGACAUUUUGAAAUCUGGAAUUAGAAGAGUGGAGUUCAUGUGUCGCCUGAAAUGAUCCUCAUGCCAUAAAGGUUUCCCUCAUUCUCAGUCAGGUGGUUGAGUUAUCCAAGCCUUCAUAACCAGAGGGUCUGAGCACUUGUUGGACUGUGCUUACUGCAGCUUCUCAUUUACAAUUACCACUGCACCUGAGAGUACCAAGAGAUUCCUGAGCCAGAGAUUACGAUUUCCAACUUCCAGCUCCUCAAGGUUUCAAUAUCAGGAUGAUGCCAGCCUCAUAAAAUGAGUUAGGGAGGAGUCUGAGAGGAGCUAUUAGAGCUUUACAGAUGGAGAAACAGAGGGAAGAAGAGACUUGGAAUCACUCUGUCCUGGCUGUGGGUCUAUGAAAAAGAAUGUGGCCUACUGCUAAAUACAUUGAUUUUGAAGCUAGAUAGCUCUGGUUUUGGGGAGCAAGUGAUUUGAUCUCUCAGAGACUCAGCUACUUCAUCAGUAAACAGAGAUUACCAUAUCCACCAGUAAUGGCUAUAGGAGCAGUAAUAGGGAUGAUAUAGGUGAAAGCACUGAUCACUGAAUGAUUCCAAAGACAGGUGCAGAGAGGUUCAGGCAUCAGACAGGCUACCUGGAUCCAAAUCCCAGCUCCAUCAUUUACUACUUUCAUGGCCUUUACAAACCACUAAACUUCUCUCUGAGCUUCAAUUUUCCCAUCUGUAACAUGGGAACUAAUAAAAUGAAACCUUCCUAAUAAAGUUGCCAGGAAGAUUCAUUGAGACAUUGAAUGUAAAGUAUUUAACUCAAUAUAGAGCACAGGGGAGCACCAAAUAAAAUUCAGGUGUUACAUUUUUAAGCACGUGUUCACCAAGGCUCCCAAUUCAGGUGGUGAGGAUUCUAUGAUGAUCAAUUCCUCCUAAGGUAUUUGUAAAAUGACCCACCAGAUUACCAACCAUUCCUGUAUUUCCAGAACCCUUUGGAGUCCUUUAUGUAACCUGGGAGAGCUGUUAUUCUUUUUUCUUUUUGGUAGAAGUGAAAUCCUGCAGGAAAACUUGCUCCAUUUUGGUUAUUUCUGUUAUAUCACAAGGUGGGCUGGAUAGCAAGUUUUGGAAGCACUGAACACCCACACGGAGCUGGCUCCUCUCAGGCGGGGAGGCAUCUUCACUAAGGAGAGGUGCAGUCUGUGUCCCCGUCCUUGACUCUGAGAAUCCCUGUGAUCAACAGAAUGCAGAAAAGUGACACUGCAUGGCUUCUGAGGCUAGGUCCAGAAAAGGUGAUGCAGCUUCCCCCUUUGCGCUGAAAUGCAGUGCUUGGACCUCAGAGCUAUUGACUAAGAAGUCCAUGCACCCUGAGCUUCUCAUGCUGGGGAAGCCACGUGUAGGCAUUCAGUUCCCAGCCCAGCUGAGCUCCAUCCUGGCUGCAACAAUUGUUCUCAUGAGGAAGCCAUCUUGGACACUCAGCUCCAUGGAGCCUCCACGAGUCGCCAGCCCCAACUGACAUCUGUCUCACUGCAACCACAGAAGAGCCUCCAACCAAGAACUGCACAGCUGAACCCUUUCUAAAUUCUUGAUCUCCAAAAAGCCAUGCACAAAAUAAAAUGGUUGUUUUGAGCCACUAAACUCUGGAACCUCGAGUAGGGGAGAAGUUCCUUUGGGUAGGUGUCAUUUUCCUAGGCUACCAUUCAUUUUCUCUUAUUUUGGUGAUAGCAGUCUGAUUUAUGUGUGUGGGUGGGUCGGGGGUAACCCUGAUCUUAAGUCAUGUAGUUCAGGUGCCUCCUGGAUGUGCCUGCCUAACCAUCAUAUCCCCACUACGGUACGGUGUUUGUAAAGAGUUGAGCAAAUAAUCCAGGACAGACCACUGAGAUUCUGCCUUGUGACUUUUGUUAAAAUUAGUGAGAAAAAGUCACUCUCGGGGCAGGCUGGAGUAAAGAGGGAUUGCUAAAUAGAUGCUAGGUAGGCCUGAAACUGCUGGGGGCCAAUUUAUUAUGAAGCAGGAAGAACCUAAUAAGGAAUAAAGUUACUCUGGAGGAAAGCCAAGCAAAGGAGGGUGAGAGACAGCUUCCUGAUGAGACUAAGCUUUGGACCCAGUUUUGCCUGGAACUUCGGCAGGCUGUUUUAGUUUCGUAAGUUAAUACGUACUCCUUUUUGAUUAAGCUAUUUCAGAGGUGUCACUUGCAUCUGAAAGAUUCCUAAUACAGACAGGUAAGAUCAGGUCAUGGAGGGCUUUGUGCCCUGUGAUGGUAAAGUUUUACUUUAUUCUGUAAAGAAUGAGAACUAUAUUUUAAUCAGGAGCAGGAUGAUGAGAUGUACACUUUAGCAAGACACCUGAAUGCACUGAGAAGGGAUAUUUUGGUGUUAGGAACAGGGAAAUGGACUAGGAGUAUAUAGUGUUAGUUUAGGACAUUAUGAUGCCAACUAAUAUAGCUGGUGGGAUUGGAUAUGCAAUUUGAGAAAUAUUUAAAUCAUGGAAUCAACACAAUUCAGACAGGUUGGGUGGUGUUGGGAUAAGGAAGAGAGAAGAAGCAAGGAUGACUUUUAGAUGGAUGGCUUAUAUACAAGCUGGACUAUGUAUCACUAAAGAGAAUAUUAGCUCCAGUUUAUGUCUGAUGACUCAGAAGUUAAACAACCUGCCCAAGGUUGUGUACCUAGUAAGAGCAGAACCAAUCAGGUCUUUAGGCUCCAAGACUUUCAUUCUUUGAAUUGUAUCAGGCCACUCACUGUGUUGAGGCCGCCAUGUGCACUGCAUUCCCAAGAAAUCAUAGCACAUGGGGCUGCUUGUUGUUCAGCACAUCAGGAGGAAGGCAAAAUUAUUAAUGCUUUCUUUUGGUCUCCUUGCUGUGUCUGACUUGCUACCAAACAAAACCUCUGCAGCAGGGCAUUUGUACUAUUCAGGUUUUCUUGGCUGACUUAUCAGCAUUUGUGAAAAGUACAGACGAUUUUGUUCCAGCCUUUCUGCAUUCUGACUUCAGAAGCUGAUUACAGAUGCAGAAACAUGAAGGGAGGUGAAAUCUAUUUCCCAAGAUGGACUAUGGAUUGGUUCUAAAGAUCAAAAGGGUGUGGCUUUUCAAUACAAACAACAAAGUCUGGGAGUUUUUGCACAGUGGAAGAGAAAGGCAAGUAGUAAGGGUGGCAAAGUGCUCAUUAGGAAGAAAAGUUAACAGGAAAACUUGGUUUAAAUCAAGGCAAGUAUGAAGAGAAGGUUAUCAACUUUAUGAAAAAGAGGACCAGAGAAGGCGAAGUGGCAAGCUGAGUGGCGAAUGCUGCUUAUCAUAUAUCCAGUUAAAAUUUCUUGGUCUCAUUCUUCACCAUUGUUAAAAUACUUUAACAUAUUUUAUAUACACUUAAAUAUCUGCUCCUUUCUAGUAAUAUAUUUUAUGUCUUUUACCAUCUUUGAGCCACAAUGAUCUCAACUGUGAAAUGGGAGCAGUAACAAAUUGCACCAUAAGAUUGUUGUGUUAAAUAAUGGCAUGAAUGUGCUUAGCCUGUUGCUUGUCACAUGGAAUCUGCACAGUUAAUGCUCAUAGCCUGUAACUCUUCCCAUCCUCUUCAGCAAGCUUUUAUUUAAUGACGCAGUUACGAAUGAGAAACUCCUGCAAGAAUGAUCAGUGUGCAUUGGAUAGAUGUUAAUUAGGUAGGACAGCCAGCAUUAUGUUCAUUUGAAGGGGAAAAAAACUGAGGUUUUCAGAGGUUAAGUAGCUUGCUGCAAAGUGCUUAGCUAUCAACAAAUAGGAGGUGGUUUUCUCCAGAGGGCCCCAGGUGAGAUGCACAGGUGUUACCCAGUGCAGACUUUUGGUCACCUUCACUUAACAUGGUGAUUGUUAUCAGAUGAGAAAGAAGACACCCUGGAAUUGAGAAAGUGCCAUACAAGAUGAGGCCAUUGCAAAGAGGAAAAAAGAGGCCCUGUGUGAGGCUAGGAAGACAGCACAACAAUGAGCCCAUGGCUUGCCAGGAAAGGAUCAGAAAUGGGAGGAGUGUUGUAGGCUAGUGGGACAUUCUCAAGCUUCAGAUCAGGUGAUUCUGUGCCCAAAUUAUCACUCCUCCAUGUAUUAUCUGUGUGACUUUGAACAAGGUUGUGUAACCUUUCUAAGCCUGUUUCUUCUUUUUUUUUGAUUUUUUUUUUUUGAGAUGAAGUCUCACUCUGUUGCCCAGGCUA
rnacentral:lncRNA from 1 species